rnacentral:rRNA from 1 species
GACGUAGGGGGCGAGCGUUGUCCGGAUUCAUUGGGCGUAAAGCGCGCGUAGGCGGCCCGGUAAGUCGGAUGUGAAAUCUCACGGCUCAACCGUGGAACUGCAUUCGAAACUGUCGGGCUAGAGGCAGGUAGGGGAGAUCGGAAUUCCCGGUGUAGCGGUGAAAUGCGCAGAUAUCAGGAAGAACACCCGUGGCGAAGGCGGCUCUCUGGAACGCAACUGACGCUGAGACGCGAAAGCGUGGGGAGCAAACAGG